UGCCGCCGUUGAUACUGAGAGAGAGAGAGAGAGAGAGAGCAGCGGAAGUGCGAAGAGCGAAACCCUAGACGCCGUCACCAUGGCGAGCGAUUCGUGGAAGCCCGGUUGUUUGUGAUAUUGCGAUUGUCUCGUGUUGUGUUCCUGGUGAUCGAUUGAGGUUUUGUUCUUUGAUCCUUUUCUGUUUGUUUCUGGUGGCUGGUUUCGAUCUGCAGUCUCUGGUCGCGAACGAGGACUUUCAGCACAUUCUUCGUGUUCUGAACACGAACGUCGAUGGAAUGCAGAAGAUCAUGUUCGCGCUUACCUCCAUCAAGGGUAUCGGUCGCCGCUUCGCCAACAUCAUCUGCUAAAGGGCCGACGUGGACAUGAGCAAAAGGGCUGGUGAGCUGUCGGCUACUUGAUGUCAGUGGUUUUCAAUCCACGCCAGUUCAAGAUCCCAGAUUGGUUCUUGAACAUAAAGAAGGACUAUAAGGAUGGCCGGUACUCUCAGAUUGUUUCAAACGCCUUGGACAUGAAGCUCAGGGAUGACCUUGAGAGACUGAAGAAGAUAAGGUUGGGUACUCCAUACUUUACAAAGUUUUUUAUGAUGAAUUCUGUUUUUAUUCUUGAGAAAUGGUUGUAAGAGUUCUUUUCUAUCUAUCAUUUGUCACAUUCCAUUUUUAAUUUGACCUUGUAGCUUUUAUUUUAUGCCAUUCACCUGUUGUCGUUUCAUCUUAAAAUACAAAAUAUAUAUUUUCAUAUGGGUCUCAAUGUUCUUUUAGUAGAGUGACAUAGUUUUCUUACUUAUCUAUAUAUGGUUUUUGGCUCUGAGACAGGGGUGUAAUAUCUAGAACAAUAGUUAUCUAAAUUUACCUUUUCACUCACCCAUUAUUUCUCUGUCAUUUGGACAGAGUUUCUAUGUUUCCUAUGAGGCUUGCUCUGUAUGAAUGAUUGAUUAGUUGUCCUAAAAGUUACAGUGGAUAUAUAAUUUUUAUGUUAUUGUUUCAUUUUGAUUUUGUUCUUGUGUAAUCUUCAUUUUCAAAUUAUUAGAUAGUCGCGAUACUGAUCAUUCUACUCACAAGAUUGGGGGUGCAUUGUGAGUAAACCCCCUUGUUGAGUUUUAAUGGUCUAGUAAAAGGAUACCAACUUUAUAAAUGAAUCUAAUGAGCGUAAACCCCCUUGUUGAGUUUUAAUGGUCUAGUAAAAGGAUACCAACUUUAUAAAUGAAUCUAAUGAGCUUAAAUGUUCUGCUGCUUGGUAGUUAAUUUAAAUUGUCAUGUCAGGUGUUUUUAUACAUCAUCUUUUGCCAUUUGAGGUGGUUUUGGUUGAAUGGAUUUAUAGUGCUAAUGCCGUCCUCAAGGACAUUCUUGAUGUUGAAUAUUCAUUGUGUAACUUUACCUGCAAUUGAUAUUGUCUUGUGUAAUGUUUAUUACUCUCGAUGUUAUCCUUCAACAGUUCAGCAAUCUUUGGCGUUACACUUUCA